GUUGGCUGUGGUGGUGCACACCUGUAAUUCCAGCAGCUCGGGAGGCUGAGGCAGGAUGAUCAAAGGUUCAAAGCCAACCUCAGCAAUUUAGCAGAGGCUGUGAGCAACGUACUGAGAUCCUGUCUCAA
rnacentral:sRNA from 1 species